rnacentral:rRNA from 1 species
AUACGGAGGAUGCGAGCGUUAUCCGGAUUUAUUGGGUUUAAAGGGAGCGUAGGCGGACGCUUAAGUCAGUUGUGAAAGUUUGCGGCUCAACCGUAAAAUUGCAGUUGAUACUGGGUGUCUUGAGUACAGUAGAGGCAGGCGGAAUUCGUGGUGUAGCGGUGAAAUGCUUAGAUAUCACGAAGAACUCCGAUUGCGAAGGCAGCCUGCUGGACUGUAACUGACGCUGAUGCUCGAAAGUGUGGGUAUCAAACAGGAUUAGAUACCCUGGUAGUCCACACAGUAAACGAUGAAUACUCGCUGUUUGCGAUAUACAGUAAGCGGCCAAGCGAAAGCGUUAAGUAUUCCACCUGGGGAGUACGCCGGCAACGGUGAAACUCAAAGGAAUUGACGGGG